rnacentral:rRNA from 1 species
CAGCCGCCGCGGGAAUACGAAGGGUGCGAGCGUUAAUCGGAAUUACUGGGCGUAAAGCGUGCGUAGGCGGUUUGUUAAGUCUGUUGUGAAAUCCCCGGGCUCAACCUGGGAAUGGCAAUGGAUACUGGCAAGCUAGAGUGUGUCAGAGGAUGGUGGAAUUCCCGGUGUAGCGGUGAAAUGCGUAGAGAUCGGGAGGAACAUCAGUGGCGAAGGCGGCCAUCUGGGACAACACUGACGCUGAGGCACGAAAGCGUGGGGAGCAAACAGGAUUAGAUACCCCUGUAGUCCCUGUCUCUUAUAC